UAACAAUCGGUAUUCUGUCUGUUGACAUAA
rnacentral:piRNA from 1 species